rnacentral:rRNA from 1 species
AUGGCGGCACAGAACGGCAGCGGCGGCGCGGCGGUGGUCCUCAACGUGUACGACCUGACGCCCAUAAACGACUACCUCUACUGGUUCGGCCUCGGCAUCUUCCACUCCGGGAUCGAAGUUCAUGGUCUGGAAUAUGCUUUUGGAGCCCAUGAUCUCUCAACCAGUGGGGUUUUUGAGGUUGAACCAAAACGUUGCCCUGGCUAUGUCUAUAGAAGGUCUGUAUGGAUGGGUACAACUGAGAUGUCUAGGGCAGAGUUCCGCUCGUUCGUUCAAACUCUUGCAGGAAAGUACGAUGGGAAUACAUAUCAUUUGAUUUCAAAGAACUGCAACCAUUUUACAGAUGAUGUCUGUAAGAACAUAACCAAAAAACCAGCCCCUGGAUGGGUAAAUCGGCUAGCAAGAGUGGGUUACUUUUUCAAUCGCCUCCUACCAAAAAGCAUUCAAGUCUCUACUGUUACUCACGCAGCAACCCAUCCUGCAUUCUCUGAUGAUGACGUGGAUUCAUCAGGUUCAUCCCUUAAUGGGGACAGUGAUAUGGAUGACCUGGACCAGCACCUGCUACCAGCCGCAGGCACCGACCUUCAAUCCAUAGUCGUGUCACCAAAGCCAUCGAAAGAUCUCGUUUGA